rnacentral:rRNA from 1 species
CUCGUAAACAUAACCACACGUAUACUGUGUUAAUGUGCCGUUCCGUUGUCUGAAAUCGUAAUCAUCACCACACCUAUGAUGUGUUAGUGUUUUACAUCAUGUGUUCACAUACAAAUGACUACCUUACGGUUUGUAUACGUAGAGGUAGUCCGUAAACACGAUCAUUUCUCUCUCUUUCCCUUUGACUUAAUCAAAUGGGUUGUAAAUUUGUAUCUUUUAUUCUUCCUUUUGACUCCGUGUCCAUUUUUUUCUCUCCUUUUUGGCUCUGUGGUCAGUGGUGGAGUAACUACUCCAAUUAAUAUAAACUCUGUGGUGAUACAGGUAGUGUGGAGGUCUUAGACGCUCUCCUGGGAGCACGUCUUCGUUCCCCUAGUUCGAGUAGCCUCUUUUAAUGAGUACCCGCACGACUAGAUUGGACUUUAACUGUCACUUUUGACUUUUCGACUCAUUAUACACGUAUAAACUACCGUUAAUGUACCGAACACCUCUACCUAUAUGGAAGAGUUUCUACAGGGACUAUAAGAAGAGACUAAGAGGUUGUAUGUACAAAUAGUCAAGACCUGGAAAAUGCGAUUCUUUCAAAUUACUCGUGAGCCAACGAUGCCGAAAGCGUACAUUACAGGUUUUUAAGUUUCGUUUUGUAGGGUCACUCGUACAUAAUACAACAACAACCUAUGUUGAUUGAAAACUUUUUUUAUCCUUACUUUAGAGUUAAGUCUGUUUCAUAUUUUGUUCUUCUUCAUUACAGAUAUCUUGGAGCCUUGGAAAAGUGUUUAAUCCGCGGUCUUGAUUGAGGAUGCACAUCGAUACUAGGUCUCGUGGUCUAGUUAGUUAGAAACUUAUACUGUCACAGACGCUACCGGUACUCGCCCGGUUCCGUCAGUCCGCGUUUGUACACGAGUAUCCACGUCGAGUCGCUACUCGGCAUCGCUGUGGAGACUGCGCCGUAUGUACACGCCUGGCAACAGCGCGCACUCGUACAUGGCGCACGUCGGCCGUCCAAGUCGGUAUAACUCGUAGCAGCCAUUUAUAAUGAGGACGUCCAUCGAUUAUAGCUUAUAUUCUUAGACUUAGGUUCUUUCCGUGUGGUUACAUCGAGAAAGUGGUACCCGUGAUUAUUCUUCGAUAACAAUCACAGAGGUUCUUUGUUUUUAUUAAGUGGUAUCAUGUCUUAAGAGUUUAGGUUACUACGUACUUCGAGCGACGGAUCAUUACGAGUAAAAGUGACUUCAAACUACGAUGGGACUUAUAUAGAUGUUGCCACUCGUGACGUGAAACAAACGGCCAGGACGACGUUAGUUUAAACAGUUGUAGGUAAUGGGUCAGGCUAGGUAUUUCUGAGAUUGAAAGAGUUCCCCUAAUGUUAAAUACCCGGUUUAUCAAAGUCUAAAUCCUUCUUUGAGUAUCAUGCACAACGGCAGUUCGGCCAACUGAAUUUCAAGGACGUGGUUCUUUGUUAAUAGUUAAGUGCUAAAUUGAUUAGGUCUGGUUUUGUCUAGUUUACUCGAGCGGAUUAAUACUAUGUGUUAGGAUUAGGGGAGACGUUCAUCCGUCGUUGAAAGAGACGGAUGUUGGCGGGCGAAGGAUACGGUUAUCUUGCGCGUGCAGUUCGGUGGGUGCAGUGUACGUGCAGGUCGGCCGACCUCAUAUCAUGCCUAUUGUGUAUACGCUCCCCCGACUUCUAGGUGGGCACCGUCUCGUUCUACUUCCACUUUAGCUAGGGUCUCCUCCUUCUCGAUCGAAAGCAGCCGUUGGUUCUACUGAUACUACGUCUCCUACAGUUCAGCCCGUCGUACCUCGACCUCUGUACCACCUCCGCCGGCUACCGUCUCUCGUUUCUGGACAUGCGCCGGCUGCCCGCUAUCAUCUCAACCUACGUCGGCGACUGUACUACGGCGGCAUGUCCCUACCGGCUUGCGGUUCCCUGCGGAACGACCGGCGGUACCACCCGUUCCGCCACCGCCUCUCACAGCUCGACCACCUAGGCUUCCCUCCUGCCUAGACCGUCGGCGGCCCACGAUGGCUGACCUACGUAGCCUCUCUCUCCUCCCCUAGCUCUAAAAAAAAUGCGUCACACCCG